rnacentral:lncRNA from 1 species
GGUGUCGUAACUAAAAGACAGAGUUAUUUUCAUCAUAUAAAUUAAAAAAAAAAAAAUGAUCUGCAAGCAUUAAAUAUGCAUUGAAAAAUAAUAAUCAUGUGAACCAAUCAGACAAGAUGGUAUGCUCCACAUUAGAUUUUCUACACCAUCCAUGGUGCACAAAAAAUUUCUGCAACCCCAAAAGCUAUUGGGGUUUAUCACUUCGCCGGCCCACACUUGUGCAGCCGAAAACGAUUGUAAUUUGUGAACAUUCCAUGGCCUUGGAUAAGUCCAACCAAUUGCCAUGCAAUGCUCCUAAAAUUAAUAAGCACACCAAGUUGGACUGCCCUCUUUGGCAUGCACUAAACCUUGUUUCCAUUAGGCUCCCCUUUAAGCCGUCACUCACCAAUAAUUUCAUUUUCUUUAAACGCCAGG